GGGGAUGUAGCUCAUUUGGCAGAGCGCGUCAUUAGCAUGUUAUUUCAACUUGAAUUGACGAGGUACCGGGUUCAAUUCCCUGCUUCUCCA